UACGUAGGGGGCAAGCGUUGUCCGGAAUCAUUGGGCGUAAAGAGCGUGUAGGCGGCCCGAUAAGUCCGCUGUGAAAGUCCAGGGCUCAACCCUGGGAUGCCGGUGGAUACUGUCGGGCUCGAGUCCGGAAGAGGAGUGUGGAAUUCCUGGUGUAGCGGUGAAAUGCGCAGAUAUCAGGAGGAACACCAAUGGCGAAGGCAGCACUCUGGGACGUGACUGACGCUGAGACGCGAAAGCGUGGGGAGCAAACCGG
rnacentral:rRNA from 1 species